GGAGUUUGGGCCGUGUCUCAGUCCCAAUGUGGCCGUCCGACCUCUCAGUCCGGCUACAGAUCGUCGCCUUGGUGAGCCGUUACCUCACCAACUAGCUAAUCUGACGCGGGCCCAUCUCGUACCACCGGAGUUUUUCACACUGUGUCAUGCGACACUGUGCGCUUAUGCGGUAUUAACAGUCGUUUCCAACUGUUAUCCCCCAGUACGAGGCAGGUUGCCCACGCGUUACUCACCCGUCCGCCACUAAGAUCUAACAAGCUUUGACCGAAGUCUCUGCAGCGUUAAAUCUCCGUUCGACUUGCAUGUGUUAGGCACGCCGCCAGCGUUCAUC
rnacentral:rRNA from 1 species